CGGCGUGACCCGGAAGCUCGCGUGGUGUAGCGCGGACCGAGGGCCGCUGGGCAGCAAAUCCUAACUGCUUCGGGUUCCUGUGCGCUGCUCGGUCGCUCCUGCCCCAACGUGUCCCCCAGCGUGGGACCGUCCCCGUCCUAGAAAAAGUUUUACCUUGCUCUAGGGAGAAUUUCCCUAGCGCCUCCCGCGGCAGGGUUCCCCCCUCUGGGAGUUUCGUCUGAGAGAAGGGGCCGAAGGCUCGCUGAGCAGAGACGGGGUUUCACCAUAUUGGUCAGGCUGGUCUUACCAUAUUGGUCAAGCUGAUCUCGAACCCCUGACCUCGUGAUCCGCCCGCCACGGCCUCCCAAAGUGCUGGAAUUACAGGCGUGAGCCACCGCGCCAAGCCCCUGGUUUCUUUACAAGAGAAGAUUGAAUCUAGACACACAGACUGAGGGGCCACCCAGGUGAAGACACGGCAAGAAGGCGCCACCUACCGGCCAAGAAGAACCGCCUCACCGGAAGCAACGCUGCUGGCACCUUAAUCUAGGACUUCCGAGCCUCCAAAACUCUUCAGGAAUAUCUGUUAUUUCCCGAAGAUGUUUGGAUGUUAUCCCCUUCGAAUCUCACGUUGAAUUAUAAUCCCCAAUACCGGAGGUGGGACGUGGUUGGAGGUGACUGGAUGGAUCAUGGAGGUGAAUUUCUGGCGCAUGGCUUACAGCCAUUCCCUGGGUGUUGUCCUCCUGAUAGUAAGUGAGUUCUCCUGAGAUCUGCUUGUGGUACUUCCUCCCCGUUCUCUCUUUUGCUCCAACUCUUGCCAAGUGAGAUGUCAGCUCCUUUUCACUAGCACCACACUUCCUGUACAGCCUAUAGAACUGCGAGCCAAUUAAACCUCUUUUCUUUAUAAAUCACCCAGCCUUAGGGAUUUCUUUAUAGCAGCACAAGAACAGAUUAACACACCUGCUAAAAAAGUGGCCGGGCACGGUGGCUCACACCCGUAUUUCCAGUAAUUUGGGAAGCUGAGGUGGGCGGAUUACCUGAGGUCAGGAGUUCAAGCCCAGCCUGGCCAACAUGGUGAAACCCCAUCUCUACUAAAAAUACAAAAAUUAGCUGGGUGUGGUGGUGCAUGCAUGUAAUCCCAGCUACCCAGGAGGCUGAGGCAGAAAAAUUACUUGAAACCAGGAGGUAGAAGCUGCAGUGAGUUGGUCUUGAACUCCUGACAUUGUGAUCUGCCUGCCUUGGCCUCCCAAAGUGCUAGGAUUACAAGUGUGAGCCACUGUGCCUGGCCAAGAAUUAUCUCUUUUUGGCCAAUUUUUGUAUUUUUAGUAGAGACAGGGUUUCACCAUGUUAGUCAGGCUGGUCUCAAACUCCUGACCUCAUGAUCUGCCCACCUUGGCCUCCGAAA